CAAUAGCGUAUAUUAAAGUUGUUGCAGUUAAAAAGCUCGUAGUUGGAUGUGUGGUUUGGCGUCGUUCCGCGCGGCUUGAUUGUCGUUGUCGGGUUUCGGGCGCUGACCAUCCUGGGUCGGAAUCGGCGUGGCAUUGAGUUGUCGUGUCGGGGAUGGCCCUCGUUUACUGUGAAAAAAUUAGAGUGUUCAAAGCAGGCGUUGUGCCGUUGAAUAUAUUAGCAUGGAAUAAUGAGAUAGGACCUUUGUACUAUUUUGUUGGUUUGCGCACUUGGGUAAUGAUUAAUAGGGGUAGUUGGGGGUAUUCGUAUUCCACUGUCAGAGGUGAAAUUCUUGGAUUUUUGGAAGACGAACGAGUGCGAAAGCAUUUACCAAGGAUGUUUNCAUUA
rnacentral:rRNA from 1 species